GGAAUUGUUCACAAUGGGCGCAAGCCUGAUGACGCAACGCCGCGUGGAGGAUGAAGGUCUUCGGAUUGUAAACUCCUGUUGCCCGGGACGAAAAGCUUCGACCUAACACGUCGAAGUCUGACGGUACCGGGUGAGGAAGCCCCGGCUAACUACGUGCCAGCAGCCGCGGUAAUACGUAGGGGGCAAGCGUUGUCCGGAUUUACUGGGCGUAAAGAGCGUGUAGGCGGCCAAACAGGUCCGUUGUGAAAACUGGAGGCUUAACCUCCAGACGUCGACGGAAACCGUGUGGCUAGAGUCCGGAAGAGGAGAGUGGAAUUCCUGGUGUAGCGGUGAAAUGCGCAGAUAUCAGGAAGAACACCAAUGGCGAAGGCAGCUCUCUGGGACGGUACUGACGCUGAGACGCGAAAGCGUGGGGAGCGAAC
rnacentral:rRNA from 1 species